rnacentral:tRNA from 1 species
GGUCCUUUAACUCAGUUGGUUAGAGUGUGGGUAUGUGGUUAACACGGGUGCUGAAUUAGAAUUGAUCGGCUAACAUCUAUAAGUGCUAAUAUUUGAAACGCCAAAGUCGCGAGUUCGACCCUCGUAAGGACCA